rnacentral:rRNA from 1 species
UACGUAGGGUGCGAGCGUUAAUCGGAAUUACUGGGCGUAAAGUGUGCGCAGGCGGCCGCGCAAGUCGAGUGUGAGAGCCCCGAGCUUAACUUGGGAACUGCGCUCGAAACUACGUGGCUGGAGUGUGGCAGAGGAAGGUGGAAUUCCAGGUGUAGCGGUGAAAUUCGUAGAUAUUCGCAAGAACACCAGUGGCGAAGGCGGCUCACUGGCCCGGUACUGACGCUGAGGUGCGAAAGCGUGGGGAGCAAACAGG